UACGUAGGGGGCAAGCGUUGUCCGGAUUUAUUGGGCGUAAAGAGCGUGUAGGCGGCUAGGUAGGUCCGUUGUGAAAACUCGAGGCUCAACCUCGAGACGCCGAUGGAAACCAUCUGGCUAGAGUCCGGAAGAGGAGAGUGGAAUUCCUGGUGUAGCGGUGAAAUGCGCAGAUAUCAGGAAGAACACCAGUGGCGAAGGCGGCUCACUGGCCCGGUACUGACGCUGAGGCGCGAAAGCGUGGGGAGCAAACAGG
rnacentral:rRNA from 1 species